GGAAGAACCAAGAUGAGUGCUAAGGAGAAGUUGGGGGAGAGGCUUUGCUUUUGAUUGAGAGGACAGUUUGAAUGUCAAGAAAGAGGCCAACUGCAAAGAUCUAGGGGCAGGGAAUUCAGGCACAGAGAUAGGUAACUGUACAGGGCCUACGGUGGACAGGAAAAGGCCAGUGUGAUUGGAUCACAGUGUGGGAGGGGGAUGGCUUUUGGAGGGAGGUGCAUUUGAAGUUGUAGUAGGAAAGAGGGGCCAGACCAUUUAUCACUAUUUACUGAUAUCUCUCCAUUUUCCUCUCUAGCUCCACCCUCCACCCUGUUCUAUGGCCCUGGGCGUGACUUGCUCUUGCCCCUUGCCUUCUGUUUGGAUCCUGCCAAUGAGGACUCCUAGCAGGAGAUGGGGGCUCUCAUAUUUAACUGAAAGGCUCAGCUCCACGCAGCGUUUCUGUCUCCAGGAAAAUACUGGCUUCAUGAAAUGGCUUGGAAGAUUUGGAGGCAACCUAAAUGUCCAUCAACAGAUGAAUGGAUAAAGAACAACAGGGUGACUAAAGUCAAUAAUAAUUUAAUUAUACAUUUAAAAAUAACUAAAAGAGUGUAAUUGGAUUGUUUGUAACACAAAAGAUAAAUGUUUGAGGGAAUGAAUACAUGAAGCGAUUAUUUGCAUGAUGUGAUUAUUUGCAUUGCAGGCCUGUAACAAAAUAUCUUAUGUACCCCAUAAAUAUACACACCUACUAUGUACCCACAAAAAUUAAAAAUUUUUAAAAAAUGACUUGGGAAGUUUGUCUCCUCUAUUUCCUGAAGAAGUUUGGGAAGGAUUGGUAUUAUUUCUUCUUUAAAUGUUUGGUAGAAUACAUCAGUGUAGCUAUUUGGCUGGAGUUUUACUUGUGGGACAGUUUUGAUGUAAGAAUUCAAUUUCUUUAACAGAUACAGAACUACUCUGGUUAUUCCUUCUUUUUGAGUGAGCUUUGAUAGUUUGUGGAUUAAAUGGCAAAUAUUCAUUUUCUUUGUCAGAUGUAUUGGCAUAAAGUUGCUUAUAUAACCCCUUAUUAUCCUUUAAAUAACUAUAUGAUCUGUAGUAAUGACUCCUCUUUCAUUCUUGAUAUUGGCAAUUUGUGUUUUUCUUAAUCAGUAAGACUGACUAGACGUUUAUCAGUUUUUAAAAUUGAUCUUAAGAAAGUGUCUGAUUUUGUUUUUUUCAAUUUCUACGUUUUUCUGUUUCAUUGAUUUCUGCUCUUAUCCUUAUUUACUUUAUUCUAAUUAUUUGGGUUAAAUUUACUCUUAUUUUCUAGUUGAUUUAGUUGGAGAUUUAAAUUACCUGAGACCUUCCUUCCUAAUACAGACAUUUAGUGCUAUAAAUUUUCUUCUAAGCACUGUUUUAUCUCUAUCCCCAAAAUUUUGUGAUGCUGUGUUUUCAUUUUCCUUCAUCUCAAAAUACAUAUAUAUAUUUUAGAUUUUUAGGUUCGUGAGUACAUGUGCACAUUUAUUAUAUAGGUAAAUUGCAUGUCACAAGGGUUUGGUGUACAGACUAUUUCAUCACCCAGGUGAUAAACCUGAUACGUAGUUUUUCAGUCCUCACCCUCCUCCCAUCCUCCAUCCUCAAGGAGGCCCCAAUGUCUAUUGCUCUCUUCUUUGUGCCCAUGUGUACUUAAUGGUUAGCUUCCAUUUAUAAGUGAGAACAUGUGGCAUUUGGUUUUCUGUUCUUGUGUUAGUUAGUUUAGGAUAAUGGUCUCCAGUUCCACCCAUGCUGCUGCAAAGGACAUGAUCUCUUUUAUGACAUGGUGUCCCUUGUAAUUUCUUUUUUAACACAAGCAGUUGUUGAGAAAAGUUUUAGUUGUUUUAAAAAUAUUGAGUUUUUAAAAGAUAUCUUUCUG
rnacentral:lncRNA from 1 species